ACGAGUUUUGAAGUGGGCUUGAUGCUGGUGUCUUAACGGAUGCAUGUGCUCAGCCCCGCUCUCAAAUCCACUCAACACCUGUGCACAUUCAAAGUUGUAGUCCUCCGUAAUGGGAGUCGCAGAUCAUAAUGAUCUGCUGGGACUGCACUUUGCCCUUUAUCACAAACUAUAUGCUUUGUCUUGUAGAAUGUAAAUGCCCGCAAGGGUGAAACUUAAUA
rnacentral:misc_RNA from 1 species